rnacentral:misc_RNA from 1 species
CAAGAGCCCCGGCUACGCCGGUUUCAUAACCCUUUGUUGUCCGACUCUGUUGCCUCCGGGGCGACCCUGCCUUCGGGCGGGGGCUCCGGGUGGACACUUCAAACUCUUGCGUAACUUUGCAGUCUGAGUAAACUUAAUUAAUAAAUUA